rnacentral:lncRNA from 10 species
GAGGUGCGCCCCCCGCAAGAUGGCGGCAGCCGGGCCUCGGGCUGGGUGGGGGCGGAACUUGGCGGAAGUGCGCGCUACUCCCCUCGCAGAUGCAAGUGGGGAGGCUGUUUGUCCCACAGCGGGCAGGGGGAAGUCAGGAAAACGGACACACUGCUGUUUGGGCAACCCUUUGUCAGGGCCUGUUAUCUCCCACUUGCAGAUCCAGGGCAUUUCAGAGGUCAGAGAGAGGAGGGAGGCCUCUUCUGAGAUUUUGACCUCUAUUCAGGUCUGGCCAUCGGAUCCUAGAACUUGCAACUGAGAAGGGGGAGACCUGGCUUCCAUGUAGAGGACACACGAUUUCCUCCCCUCUGAGGGGGCUCGUGAGGGUGACUGUCGGGCCUCUCCUGGAGCCUCAGAGAAGGACUCACUUGUCUGUGGGUGAAUUUGGAAGGAGAACCUGGGCAUACAGAGCCCAGCCCUUUGGCUCACUCUUCCUCUUGGGAGCUGACCCGCCCACUGCUCUAUCUCUUCCAGCCAUGCAUGUUGUGGGGCCUGGUCCCCUGUGGAUGGCCCAUGGUGGCCUAGAGCUGUCUCUGCCAGGGGGCAUAUUUGUCUAAUUCCAUCAUGCAGUUUUAGGCAGUCCAUUUGCCUGUAGAUCGAGGCCAUGCCCUCCAACGGUGGCUUUAUCAGCAGUAAAACUUGCAGGUUUCAUCUCCCUUGUCUCAUUCACUGGCCCUUUCACAUUGCAACCAGCACCUCUGCUGGCUCCCAGGCUGCUCCGCUGGAGCUGAAAAGAAUGAAUACCCAUCUUCAGCAACUGUAUCUUUCCCCCUCUUAACUUAGGCUCGGGAAUCAAGCUUCCCCUAAAUAAUGAAUUGGACUUUAUUCUCUCUAACCAUACCAGCUCUCAAAACAUUGGAAGCCAGAUUUACUGGGUCCAAAUGUUUAUGUUUAUGGUUAGUUACAUCAAAGAGACUUUGUCAUUAGUAAAAGUGUUUUAAUUUAAGGCAGGAACUUGGUUAUGGCUCCUUGAAGACAUCUGCUUACAUUGCCUGGUGUCUAUCCCUGUAUCUGACACCCAGAGAGCUUAAUAAACAUUUUUAUUCCAUCAGUUUGGUUGAUUGAAUGAGCCUGGACUUUUUCCUUUGUAACUCUCCAAAGCACUGAGCUCUCAGCAAAACAGAACCAACCAAGAUGUGGCGCUGACUGACUCAACUGAACGUUUAUCCCCAGAGACUUCUGAUAGCGAUCCUACCUAUUCGAAUUGAAUCCAGCUCUUUAUGUUUUAAUUACUUCUUGUUAUUCUCAUUUUCUUUUCCCCAUCAUCCUAAUGUGUUUAACAUGUCUGUUUAUAUGUAUUUUCCAUAAAG